rnacentral:lncRNA from 1 species
UCAUGGUGUGGCGAAUUUGUCAAAAUUCAAUACAAAACCAAUAAGUUUCAUUCAAAUAAAGAAACAUCACUUGUUACAAUCCAUAAAAUUCCUACAAGAUUUGGUAAUAUUAACCAAAGUAAACCCAACCUUUCAUUCCAAGUCCCCAUCCUAACUCUAAACACAUCUUCAAAUUCAUAUUCAGUUGGAUCAUUAGUGUAUGGAUGCUUCAAUUCCCAAUUUGGAUACCAUGACUAUUUAGCCAUCAUGCCAUGGACAUUAG